CUUCGGUACAAUAUACAAGGUGCUGCAUGGUUGUCGUCAGCUCGUGCCGUGAGGUGUCGGGUUAAGUCCCAUAACGAGCGCAACCCUAUCAUUAGUUGCCAUCAGGUCAAGCUGGGGACUCUAAUGAAACUGCCUACGCAAGUAGUGAGGAAGGUGGGGAUGACGUCAAAUCAGCACGGCCCUUACGUCCAGGGCUACACACGUGCUACAAUGGCCGGUACAAAGGGCAGCUACCUGGUGACAGGAUGCUAAUCUCAAAAGACCGGUCUCAGUUCGGAUCGGAGUCUGCAACCCGACUCCGUGAAGCUGGAAUCGCUAGUAAUCGUGGAUCAGCAUGCCACGGUGAAUACGUUCCCGGGCCUU
rnacentral:rRNA from 1 species